GCCCACGUGGCCCAAUGGAUAAGGCACUGGCCUCCUAAGCCGGGGAUUGCGGGUUCGAGUCCCGUCGUGGGUA
rnacentral:tRNA from 1 species